rnacentral:rRNA from 1 species
GAUGAACGCUGGCGGCGUGCCUAAUACAUGCAAGUCGAGCGAACAGACGAGGAGCUUGCUCCUCUGACGUUAGCGGCGGACGGGUGAGUAACACGUGGAUAACCUACCUAUAAGACUGGGAUAACUUCGGGAAACCGGAGCUAAUACCGGAUAAUAUAUUGAACCGCAUGGUUCAAUAUUGAAAGACGGUUUUGCUGUCACUUUUAUAUUGAUCCGCGCCGCAUUAGCUAGUUGGUAAGGUAACGGCUUACCAAGGCAACGAUGCGUAGCCGACCUGAGAGGGUGAUAGGCCAAACUGGAACUGAGACACGGUCAAGACUCCUACGGGAGGCAGCAGUAGGGAAUCUUCAGAAAUGGGCGAAAGCAUGAAGGAGCAACGCCGCGUGAGUGAUGAAGGUCUUCGGAUCGUAAAACUCUGUUAUUAGGGAAGAACAAAUGUGUAAGUAACUAUGCACGUCUUGACGGUAACUAAUCAGAAAGCCACGGCUAACUACGUG